GUGGGUUCUCAAGUGCCAAAGA
rnacentral:miRNA from 14 species